rnacentral:rRNA from 1 species
GAACGGUAGCACAGAGAGCUUGCUCUUGGGUGACGAGUGGCGGACGGGUGAGUAAUGUCUGGGAAACUGCCCGAUGGAGGGGGAUAACUACUGGAAACGGUAGCUGAUACCGCAUAACGUCUUCGGACCAAAGUGGGGGACCUUCGGGCCUCACACCAUCGGAUGUGCCCAGAUGGGAUUAGCUAGUAGGUGGGGUAACGGCUCACCUAGGCGACGAUCCCUAGCUGGUCUGAGAGGAUGACCAGCCACACUGGAACUGAGACACGGUCCAGACUCCUACGGGAGGCAGCAGUGGGGAAUAUUGCACAAUGGGCGCAAGCCUGAUGCAGCCAUGCCGCGUGUAUGAAGAAGGCCUUCGGGUUGUAAAGUACUUUCAGUGGGGAGGAAGGCGAUGGAGUUAAUAGCUUCGUCGAUUGACGUUACCCGCAGAAGAAGCACCGGCUAACUCCGUG